rnacentral:rRNA from 1 species
GUUGGGUAGGGGAGCGUUCUGUAAGCCUGUGAAGGUGUGUCGUGAGGCAUGCUGGAGGUAUCAGAAGUGCGAAUGCUGACAUAAGUAACGAUAAAGCGGGUGAAAAGCCCGCUCGCCGGAAGACCAAGGGUUCCUGUCCAACGUUAAUCGGGGCAGGGUGAGUCGACCCCUAAGGCGAGGCCGAAAGGCGUAGUCGAUGGGAAACGGGUUAAUAUUCCCGUACUUGGUGUUACUGCGAAGGGGGGACGGAGAAGGCUAUGUUGGCCGGGCGACGGUUGUCCCGGUUUAAGCGUGUAGGUGUGUGUUCCAGGUAAAUCCGGUUCACUUUAACACUGAGGCGUGAUGACGAGGCACUACGGUGCUGAAGCAACAAAUGCCCUGCUUCCAGGAAAAGCCUCUAAGCAUCAGGUAACAUCAAAUCGUACCCCAAACCGACACAGGUGGUCAGGUAGAGAAUACCAAGGCGCUUGAGAGAACUCGGGUGAAGGAACUAGGCAAAAUGGUGCCGUAACUUCGGGAGAAGGCACGCUGACACGUAGGUGAAGUGAUUUACUCACGGAGCUGAAGUCAGUCGAAGAUACCAGCUGGCUGCAACUGUUUAUUAAAAACACAGCACUGUGCAAACACGAAAGUGGACGUAUACGGUGUGACGCCUGCCCGGUGCCGGAAGGUUAAUUGAUGGGGUCAGCGCAAGCGAAGCUCCUGAUCGAAGCCCCGGUAAACGGCGGCCGUAACUAUAACGGUCCUAAGGUAGCGAAAUUCCUUGUCGGGUAAGUUCCGACCUGCACGAAUGGCGUAAUGAUGGCCAGGCUGUCUCCACCCGAGACUCAGUGAAAUUGAACUCGCUGUGAAGAUGCAGUGUACCCGCGGCAAGACGGAAAGACCCCGUGAACCUUUACUAUAGCUUGACACUGAACAUUGAGCCUUGAUGUGUAGGAUAGGUGGGAGGCUUUGAAGUGUGGACGCCAGUCUGCAUGGAGCCGACCUUGAAAUACCACCCUUUAAUGUUUGAUGUUCUAACGUGGACCCGUUACCCGGGUUGCGGACAGUGUCUGGUGGGUAGUUUGACUGGGGCGGUCUCCUCCUAAAGAGUAACGGAGGAGCACGAAGGUUGGCUAAUCCUGGUCGGACAUCAGGAGGUUAGUGCAAUGGCAUAAGCCAGCUUGACUGCGAGCGUGACGGCGCGAGCAGGUGCGAAAGCAGGUCAUAGUGAUCCGGUGGUUCUGAAUGGAAGGGCCAUCGCUCAACGGAUAAAAGGUACUCCGGGGAUAACAGGCUGAUACCGCCCAAGAGUUCAUAUCGACGGCGGUGUUUGGCACCUCGAUGUCGGCUCAUCACAUCCUGGGGCUGAAGUAGGUCCCAAGGGUAUGGCUGUUCGCCAUUUAAAGUGGUACGCGAGCUGGGUUUAGAACGUCGUGAGACAGUUCGGUCCCUAUCUGCCGUGGGCGCUGGAGAACUGAGGGGGGCUGCUCCUAGUACGAGAGGACCGGAGUGGACGCAUCACUGGUGUUCGGGUUGUCAUGCCAAUGGCACUGCCCGGUAGCUAAAUGCGGAAGAGAUAAGUGCUGAAAGCAUCUAAGCACGAAACUUGCCCCGAG